UCGGAUGCACCGCCGAGUCGUUGCGGGCGUGGGGAAGAUGUCCGCUGCGAGCCGGGGACCCAUGUGUGUGGGGUGAAUCGACGCGUCAGCGUCGUAGGGCGCCUACGGCCCGAACCCGUCAGCUCACCCGGUAGGCGCCUGAGGACAACACA
rnacentral:sRNA from 2 species